rnacentral:rRNA from 1 species
UACGUAGGGUGCGAGCGUUAUUCGGGAUUACUGGGCGUAAAGCGCGCGCAGGCGGUUUUGUAAGCCAGAUGUGAAAGCCCCGGGCUUAACCUGGGAAUGGCAUUUGGGACUGCAAGGCUUGAGUGCGGCAGAGGAGACUGGAAUUCCUGGUGUAGCAGUGAAAUGCGUAGAUAUCAGGAGGAAUACCGAUGGCGAAGGCAGGUCUCUGGGCUGACACUGACGCUCAUGCACGAAAGCGUGGGGAGCAAACAGG